UGUCCGAGCGGCGCGGCCGUGGAGCACCCGGGAGCCGGCUGUCGCGGGGGUGGCGGGGACGCGAGCGGCGGGCUGCGUGGGGUGCAGGGCAGGCGGCCGCACCGCUUCACCUUCCCCACGGAGCCCGGAGCCGACUUAGAGCGAUUACAGUGGGGCGACAGCCCCGGCGUACACCCGAGAAGAAGCGGCCGUGGCGGCGGUGGCGGCGGCCCCAGCCAUGCUGUGCUAUGUGACGAGGCCGGACGCAGUGCUGAUGGAGGUGGAGGUGGAGGCAAAAGCCAACGGCGAGGACUGUCUCAACCAGGUGUGUCGGCGAUUGGGGAUCAUAGAAGUUGAUUAUUUUGGACUGCAGUUCACCGGCAGCAAAGGUGAAAGCUUAUGGCUGAAUCUGAGAAACCGGAUCUCCCAGCAGAUGGACGGGCUGGCACCUUACCGGCUCAAACUGAGAGUCAAGUUCUUUGUGGAGCCCCAUCUCAUCCUACAGGAGCAGACAAGGCAUAUCUUUUUCUUGCACAUUAAAGAAUCCCUCUUAGCAGGCCACCUCCAGUGCUCCCCAGAGCAGGCAGUGGAGCUUAGCGCCCUCCUGGCCCAGACCAAAUUCGGAGACUACAACCAGAACACAGCCAAGUACAACUAUGAGGACCUGUGUGAGAAGGAACUCUCCAGCGCGACCCUGAACAGCAUUGUUGCGAAGCAUAAGGAGCUGGAGGGCAUCAGCCAGGCUUCUGCAGAGUACCAGGUUCUGCAGGUCGUGUCAGCCAUGGAGAAUUACGGCGUCGAGUGGCAUGCUGUGAGGGACAGUGAAGGACAGAAACUCCUCAUUGGGGUUGGACCGGAAGGCAUCUCAAUUUGUAAAGAUGACUUUAGUCCGAUGAACAGGAUAGCUUAUCCUGUGGUACAAAUGGCCACCCAGUCAGGAAAGAACGUCUACUUGACCGUCACCAAGGAGUCUGGGAACAGCAUCGUGCUCCUGUUUAAAAUGAUCAGCACCCGGGCAGCCAGUGGGCUCUACCGCGCCAUCACGGAAACGCACGCGUUCUACAGGUGUGACACCGUCACCAGCGCCGUCAUGAUGCAGUACAGUCGUGACUUGAAGGGCCACUUGGCAUCUCUCUUUCUCAAUGAGAACAUUAACCUUGGCAAGAAGUAUGUCUUUGACAUCAAAAGAACAUCCAAGGAGGUAUACGACCACGCCAGGCGGGCUCUGUACAACGCCGGUGUUGUGGACCUUGUCUCCCGAAGCGACCAGAGCCCCCCCAGCUCGCCUCUGAAGUCCUCCAACAGCAGCAUGAGCUGCAGCAGCUGUGAGGGCCUCAGCUGCCAGCAGACCAGAGUGCUGCAGGAGAAGCUGCGCAAGCUGAAGGAGGCCAUGCUGUGCAUGGUGUGCUGCGAGGAGGAGAUCAACUCCACCUUCUGCCCCUGUGGCCACACUGUGUGCUGCGAGAGCUGUGCAGCCCAGCUGCAGUCAUGUCCAGUCUGCAGAUCACGUGUGGAGCAUGUCCAACAUGUCUACCUGCCAACCCAUACCAGUCUCCUCAAUCUAACGGUCAUCUAAUGAGUCCUGCGCCUACUGGACAGGCCAUGUCCCCACAACUCAAUCUGCCAUCUAAUGAGUCCUGCGCCUACUGGACAGGCCAUGUCCCCACAACUCAAUCUGCCAUCUAAUGAGUCCUGCGCUUACUGGACAGGCCAUGUCCCCACGAGUCAAUCUGCCAUGUAAUGAGUCCUGCGCCUACUGGAGAGGCCAGGUCCCCAUGAGCUGCAGUAUUGUAAACUAUAAGAAUAAGAACCUUGUGAGGAACUAUCUCACUCUCGACGCCCAUCUGCCAUGAGACAUUUUCAGACACAAAGAAGAAAAGAGAAGCAAGAAUGCAGCCAUAUUCCUCUUCCGUGAGUAGAAGCAACAGCCCCAGUGGUGACCAGGAAGAGCUCUGGGGCAGACACAUUCCUUCUUGGACUUUGGGUUUUUUUAAUGAUCAAGUAAAGGAGUAGAUAAAAUAGUCUUUGUCGGUUAAGUGGUACCAUAGCCCAGCAGUGGGUACCUUUUAGGAAAUGAUGUCAUACGUCUCCUUAACUUCUCCCAAGGCAGCAGAUUUUAUAAGAGUUUUAAAAUUUCCUUGGUUCUUUUUCUAUGGUCAUGGAGCGCUGAACAUUUUUAAUAGGAAUUGUUUCCUUAAAGAAAUAGUCCUUGUUAUAAUGUCAUUUCUGUCUUUAUAACUCAUUCAAGAAUGACUGGAAAGCUAGCAGAUUGAAAAGCAAUCCUGUGACUUCUCAAGGGUUAACAUGUUGUCAGAUUGAAACCAGUGUGUAUGAGAGGAAACAGGAAACUCAACGUGGGUGACUUCUUAACCCUUCUUUUCCCACACCCCGCACCCCAUGCCUUUCGGUGAUAAAAUGUUACAAGUUUGGUUAAACGACUUCCAUGGCCUAGUCAAGCACUCCCUGGGCUUUUGAGCUGUUGGAAUAUUUGGAGAUUGGAAAGGAAAGUUCACAGACAGACAGACAGACAGGGCAAGAGUGCCAGAGAGGCUCCUGGUGUGCUCAGGCGGUUCUUCACGUCCCCUAAGCACUCACUCCAGCUGCACCCAUGGGUGUCGCCUUGCCUGAAGAUCAAACCUUCUACAGCCUUAUCAUAGGUCUCUAGAUAGUGUCUCCUUUGUGUGUGCGUUUGAUUUCGCUUUGUUCGUGUUUUCUUGUCAAUACUUCCAUAGUCAUUGCGUUGCCCCUGCCCUGCAUCUUUCAGAGGUGGGGUUAGUUUAUUCCCUUCCCAUAGUCUUAAUCAUAUUUCCACCCCCACUUGGGCAUUUUGGAAGCUAGUGAGCUAGGGGGGUUUCUAGGGUGUCAGGAAACCUCGCUGACCUCAUCGGGUGCAAUACUAGCUAAGUGAAAGCUAGAAACCUACCUACACUGUCACUUUACUGAGAUUUCUGAGUCUACGUUUCAUAUUGCCUUAAUGUAGCAGUAAUGUGUUUAUGCAUUUGUUUCUUUGCACAGACAUUUUGUCAGAUAUUAAAACUCUACUUUUUUAUGGCACAUAUUAGCAUAUAAGCCUUUAUUCCAAGAGGUAUUUAUUUUUUCACUUGUAAAAAAAAUAAUGUUUCCACAUUAAAAAAAAAAAACUCUGUUAUAUCCUAGAGGACUUCUGUCUUUUAUAUUCAGGAUAAUAAAGACUUUAAAGUGAACUGGG